AAAAACGACUCUCGGCAACGGAUAUCUCGGCUCACGCAUCGAUGAAGAACGUAGCAAAAUGCGAUACUUGGUGUGAAUUGCAGAAUCCCGUGAACCAUCGAGUUUUUGAACGCAAGUUGCGCCCGAAGCCAUCCGGUUGAGGGCACGUCUGCCUGGGCGUCACGC
rnacentral:rRNA from 1 species